GACAGAGGGUGGCAACGUUGUUCGGAAUUACUGGGCGUAAAGCGCGUGUAGGCUGCUUCGCAAGUCGGAUGUGAAAGCCCUGGGCUCAACCCAGGAAGUGCAUUCGAAACUGCAGAGCUGGAGUCCUGGAGAGGAAGGCGGAAUUCUCGGUGUAGAGGUGAAAUUCGUAGAUAUCGAGAGGAACACCGGUGGCGAAGGCGGCCUUCUGGACAGUGACUGACGCUGAGACGCGAAAGCGUGGGGAGCAAACAGG
rnacentral:rRNA from 1 species